UUCUACAUCGUAGCGGAAAUC
rnacentral:piRNA from 1 species